rnacentral:rRNA from 1 species
GACGAACGCUGGCGGCGUGCUUAACACAUGCAAGUCGAACGGUGAAGGGAUCAGCUUGCUGGUUCUGGAUGAGUGGCGAACGGGUGAGUAACACGUGAGUAACCUGCCCCCUUCUUCUGGAUAACCGCAUGAAAGUGUGGCUAAUACGGGAUAUUCUGGGUCUGUCGCAUGUUGGGUCUGGGAAAGAUAUUGUUUCGGUGGGGGAUGGGCUCGCGGCCUAUCAGCUUGUUGGUGGGGUGAUGGCCUACCAAGGCGGUGACGGGUAGCCGGCCUGAGAGGGUGGACGGUCACACUGGGACUGAGACACGGCCCAGACUCCUACGGGAGGCAGCAGUGGGGAAUAUUGCACAAUGGGCGCAAGCCUGAUGCAGCGACGCCGCGUGAGGGAUGGAGGCCUUCGGGUUGUAAACCUCUUUCGCCAGUGAAGCAGGCCUGCUCCUUGUGGGUGGGUUGACGGUAGCUGGAUAAGAAGCGCCGGCUAACUACGUG